UGCCGAGUAGCCAAGUUGGUAAGGCACCUGACUCUGGAUCAGGCAGUCGUAGGUUCGAGUCCUACCUCGGCAGCCA
rnacentral:tRNA from 1 species